rnacentral:rRNA from 2 species
GAAGCUGCGGCAGCGACACUGUGUGUUGUUGGGUAGGGGAGCGUUCUGUAAGCCUGUGAAGGUGUGUCGUGAGGCAUGCUGGAGGUAUCAGAAGUGCGAAUGCUGACAUAAGUAACGAUAAAGCGGGUGAAAAGCCCGCUCGCCGGAAGACCAAGGGUUCCUGUCCAACGUUAAUCGGGGCAGGGUGAGUCGACCCCUAAGGCGAGGCCGAAAGGCGUAGUCGAUGGGAAACGGGUUAAUAUUCCCGUACUUGGUGUUACUGCGAAGGGGGGACGGAGAAGGCUAUGUUGGCCGGGCGACGGUUGUCCCGGUUUAAGCGUGUAGGUGUGUGUUCCAGGUAAAUCCGGUUCACUUUAACACUGAGGCGUGACGACGAGGCACUACGGUGCUGAAGCAACAAAUGCCCUGCUUCCAGGAAAAGCCUCUAAGCAUCAGGUAACAUCAAAUCGUACCCCAAACCGACACAGGUGGUCAGGUAGAGAAUACCAAGGCGCUUGAGAGAACUCGGGUGAAGGAACUAGGCAAAAUGGUGCCGUAACUUCGGGAGAAGGCACGCUGACACGUAGGUGAAGUGAUUUACUCAUGGAGCUGAAGUCAGUCGAAGAUACCAGCUGGCUGCAACUGUUUAUUAAAAACACAGCACUGUGCAAACACGAAAGUGGACGUAUACGGUGUGACGCCUGCCCGGUGCCGGAAGGUUAAUUGAUGGGGUCAGCGCAAGCGAAGCUCCUGAUCGAAGCCCCGGUAAACGGCGGCCGUAACUAUAACGGUCCUAAGGUAGCGAAAUUCCUUGUCGGGUAAGUUCCGACCUGCACGAAUGGCGUAAUGAUGGCCAGGCUGUCUCCACCCGAGACUCAGUGAAAUUGAACUCGCUGUGAAGAUGCAGUGUACCCGCGGCAAGACGGAAAGACCCCGUGAACCUUUACUAUAGCUUGACACUGAACAUUGAGCCUUGAUGUGUAGGAUAGGUGGGAGGCUUUGAAGUGUGGACGCCAGUCUGCAUGGAGCCGACCUUGAAAUACCACCCUUUAAUGUUUGAUGUUCUAACGUGGACCCGUUACCCGGGUUGCGGACAGUGUCUGGUGGGUAGUUUGACUGGGGCGGUCUCCUCCUAAAGAGUAACGGAGGAGCACGAAGGUUGGCUAAUCCUGGUCGGACAUCAGGAGGUUAGUGCAAUGGCAUAAGCCAGCUUGACUGCGAGCGUGACGGCGCGAGCAGGUGCGAAAGCAGGUCAUAGUGAUCCGGUGGUUCUGAAUGGAAGGGCCAUCGCUCAACGGAUAAAAGGUACUCCGGGGAUAACAGGCUGAUACCGCCCAAGAGUUCAUAUCGACGGCGGUGUUUGGCACCUCGAUGUCGGCUCAUCACAUCCUGGGGCUGAAGUAGGUCCCAAGGGUAUGGCUGUUCGCCAUUUAAAGUGGUACGCGAGCUGGGUUUAGAACGUCGUGAGACAGUUCGGUCCCUAUCUGCCGUGGGCGCUGGAGAACUGAGGGGGGCUGCUCCUAGUACGAGAGGACCGGAGUGGACGCAUCACUGGUGUUCGGGUUGUCAUGCCAAUGGCACUGCCCGGUAGCUAAAUGCGGAAGAGAUAAGUGCUGAAAGCAUCUAAGCACGAAACUUGCCCCGAG